rnacentral:rRNA from 1 species
UUUCGACCUGAGGUCAGGCAAGAACACCCGCUGAACUUAAGCAUAUCAAUAAGCGGAGGAAAAGAAACUAACUAGGAUUCUC